rnacentral:rRNA from 1 species
AGAGUUUGAUCAUGGCUCAGGAUAAACGCUGGCGGCGUGCCUAACACAUGCAAGUCGAACGGUCUCUCGCUUCGCAAGGAGCGAGAGGCAGUGGCGGACGGGUGAGUAACACAUGGGUACCUGCCUUCAGGUGAGGAAUACCCCCGGGAAACCGGGGACAAGACCGCAUAGCCUCUCGUGGUGCAAGCCAGGAGAGGAAA